rnacentral:rRNA from 1 species
CUCAAAGAUUAAGCCAUGCAUGUCUAAGUAUAAGCAAUUAUACAGCGAAACUGCGAAUGGCUCAUUAUAUAAGUUAUCGUUUAUUUGAUAGUACCUUACUACUUGGAUAACCGUGGUAAUUCUAGAGCUAAUACAUGCUAAAAAUCCCGACUUCGGAAGGGAUGUAUUUAUUAGAUUAAAAACCAAUGCCCUUCGGGGCUCUCUGGUGAUUCAUGAUAACUUCUCGAAUCGCACGGCCUUGCGCCGGCGAUGGCUCAUUCAAAUUUCUUCCCUAUCAACUUUCGAUGUUUGGGUCUUGGCCAAACAUGGUUGCAACGGGUAACGGAGGGUUAGGGCUCGACCCCGGAGAAGGAGCCUGAGAAACGGCUACUACAUCCAAGGAAGGCAGCAGGCGCGCAAAUUACCCAAUCCCGACACGGGGAGGUAGUGACAAUAAAUACUGAUACAGGGCUCUUUUGGGUCUUGUAAUUGGAAUGAGUACAAUUUAAAUCCCUUAACGAGGAACAAUUGGAGGGCAAGUCUGGUGCCAGCAGCCAAUC